UACAGAGGUCUCAAGCGUUGUUCGGAUUCAUUGGCGUAAAGGGUGCGUAGGCGGCGCGGUAAGUCGGGUGUGAAAUCUCGGAGCUUAACUCCGAAACUGCAUUCGAUACUGCCGUGCUUGAGGACUGGAGAGGAGACUGGAAUUUACGGUGUAGCGGUGAAAUGCGUAGAUAUCGUAAGGAAGACCAGUGGCGAAGGCGGGUCUCUGGACAGUUCCUGACGCUGAGGCACGAAGGUCAGGGAGCAAACGGG
rnacentral:rRNA from 1 species